rnacentral:rRNA from 1 species
UCAGGACGAACGCUGGCGGCGCGCCUAACACAUGCAAGUCGAACGGACUUAGAGAGCUUGCUCUUUAAGUUAGUGGCGGACGGGUGAGUAACACGUGAGCAACCUGCCUUUCAGAGGGGGACAAUAGUUGGAAACGACUGCUAAUACCGCAUAAGACCACGGGAUGGCAUCAUCCAGCGGUCAAAGAUUUAUCGCUGAAAGAUGGGCUCGCGUCCGAUUAGAUAGUUGGUGAGGUAACGGCCCACCAAGUCGACGAUCGGUAGCCGGACUGAGAGGUUGAACGGCCACAUUGGGACUGAGACACGGCCCAGACUCCUACGGGAGGCAGCAGUGGGGGAUAUUGGACAAUGGGGGCAAACCCCCUGAUCCAGCGACGCCGCGUGAGGGAAGAAGGUUUUCGGAUUGUAAACCUCUGUUGACAGGGAAGAAAAUGACGGUACCUGUUUAGAAAGCCACGGCUAACUACGUGCCAGCAGCUGC